rnacentral:lncRNA from 1 species
UGUUAAUCCCAUGAUAAUCCCAUGUUAAUCCCAUGUUGAUGCCAUGUUUGAUGCACUGCUGUACUCAUCUCCGUCCCUUGUUCAUCCCAUGUUAAUCCCAUGAUAAUCCCAUGCUAAUCCCAUGUUAAUCCCAUGUUGAUGCCAUGUUGAUGCCAUGUUUGAUGCACUGCUGCACUCGUCUCCGUCCCAUGUUCAUCCCAUGUUCAUCCCAUGUUCAUCCCAUGUUCAGUUCAGUGCUGUGCUCA